GAUCAAUGAUGAAAAUAGCCAAAUCUGAGCAUCAGAAGACUUUGCAGUCUAUCUGAUGCAUGAUCUCUGUAGUUCUGAGA
ensembl:snoRNA